AAACAUAUGUUUUUCUUUUCUAAUUUUUAUUUUCAAUGCUUGCUCGGUUUUUCAAGAGUUGUGGCACUUACUGAUUCUCAUUUUCGUUCUCCCCAACUUAUUUCUUACUCACCAUAAGUGAAUGCUCUUAACUUUUUACGGCAAAAGAACAAUAAUCAAGAUUUUUCGGGUUGUAAAAAAAAAGAUUUUUGAAAUCUCGCUUUAUUUCAAGC
rnacentral:lncRNA from 1 species